rnacentral:rRNA from 1 species
CGUAGGUGGCAAGCGUUGUCCGGGUUUAUUGGGUUUAAAGGGUGCGUAGGCGGCUUUGUAAGUCAGUGGUGAAAUACUCCAGCUCAACUGGAGAGGUGCCAUUGAUACUGCAGAGCUAGAGUACUGAUGAGGUAGGCGGAAUGGACGGUGUAGCGGUGAAAUGCUUAGAUAUCGUCCAGAACACCGAUAGCGAAGGCAGCUUACUAAAGAGUAACUGACGCUGAGGCACGAAAGUGUGGGGAUCAAACAGGAUUAGAUACCCUGGUAGUCCACACUGUAAACGUUGAUCACUAGAUGUUGGCGAUACACUGCCAGCGUUCCAGCAAAAGCGAUAAGUGAUCCACCUGGGGAGUACGCCCGCAAGGGUG